GGAGAAAUGGCAGAGUGGUUGAAUGCAUCGCACUCGAAAUGCGACAAUCGUCUUUUCGACGGUUCAGGGGUUCAAAUCCCCUUUUCUCCGCCA
rnacentral:tRNA from 1 species